rnacentral:tRNA from 1 species
GGGUUGCCCGGGACUCGAACCCGGAACUAGUCGGUUAAAAGCCGAGUACUCUACCGUUG